GGUACGAGAGUUUUUAACUCUAGUGGCGGACGGGUGAGUAACACGUGCAGAAUUUGCCUUUAGGAGGGGGAUAACAAUUGGAAACGAAUGCUAAUACCCCAUAUGCUUUCGAGUGAAAUGGAUUUAUAUUUAUCCGCCUAGAGAGAAGCUCGCGGCUGAUUAGCUUGUUGGUAAGGUAAGAGCUUACCAAGGCGACGAUCAGUAUCUGGUUUGAGAGGACGAUCAGACACACUGGAACUGAGACACGGUCCAGACUCCUACGGGAGGCAGCAGUGGGGAAUUUUCCGCAAUGGGCGAAAGCCUGACGGAGCAAUACCGCGUGAGGGAAGACUGCCUAUGGGUUGUAAACCUCUUUUUUCAGGGAGGAAUCAAUGACGUGUACCUGAAGAAUAAGCAUCGGCUAACUCCGUGCCAGCAGCCGCGGUAAU
rnacentral:rRNA from 1 species